GUGAGGAAUAUUGGUCAAUGGGCGAGAGCCUGAACCAGCCAAGUCGCGUGAAGGAAGAAGGAUCUAUGGUUCGUAAACUUCUUUUGCAGGGGAAUAAAGUGCAGGACGUGUCCUGUUUUGUAUGUACCCUGAGAAUAAGGAUCGGCUAACUCCGUGCCAGCAGCCGCGGUAAUACGGAGGAUCCGAGCGUUAUCCGGAUUUAUUGGGUUUAAAGGGUGCGUAGGUGGUUUGAUAAGUCAGCGGUGAAAGUUUGCAGCUUAACUGUAAAAAUGCCGUUGAAACUGUCGGACUUGAGUGUAAAUGAGGUAGGCGGAAUGCGUGGUGUAGCGGUGAAAUGCAUAGAUAUCACGCAGAACUCCGAUUGCGAAGGCAGCUGGCUACACAUAUAUUGACACUGAGGCACGAAAGCGUGGGGAUCAAACAGGAUUAGAAACCCCGGUAGUCC
rnacentral:rRNA from 1 species